GGGGCUGUAGCUCAGUGGCAGAGCCUCUGCUUUGCAUGCAGAAGGUCCCAGGUUCGAGCCCUGGCAGCAUCU